GUCCACGCCGUAACGAUGAGUGCUAAGUGUUAGAGGGUUUCCGCCCUUUAGUGCUGCAGCUAACGCAUUAAGCACUCCGCCUGGGGAGUACGGCCGCAAGGCUGAAACUCAAAGGAAUUGACGGGGCCCGCACAAGCGGUGGAGCAUGUGGUUUAAUUCGAAGCAACGCGAAGAACCUUACCAGGUCUUGACAUCCUUUUGCCCUCCCUAGAGAUAGGGACUUCCCUUCGGGGACAAAAGUGACAGGUGGUGCAUGGUUGUCGU
rnacentral:rRNA from 1 species